CUGGGGUGGCUCUGCUGUGGGCCUGGGGUGUCAGCCUGACUCCUGAGCGGGCCAACUCUGGCCCUGAAGCCCCAGGGUGCUGUGGGGACCUGUGGCCAGAGCAUCUGCAGCUGCAGGACAGGACCCGGCCCCAGGAAGCCUGGAAAAGGUGGUAUGUCUAGCAAAYGUGUGCAGCCAGGAGGCCCGGCGGGGCCAGGCUGCUGGGACGUGCACCUGGGAACCUGAAGACGACAGAUGCCCCCCCCCCCCCACAACAUGGUGGAGGGACUGAGGCUAGGGCUGGGAGAGCUGAGCUGGGCGUGUCCACAGGGUGUCUGGGGGGCGCCUGUUCCUUGGCAGGACUGCACCUGCCAGCAGCCCGGGUGCAGAUGCAGAGCACUGAGGUGCAUCUCCCUCCUGUGCUCGGGUGAUUGAACUCACCUCAGCCACACUGGCCGCGCCUCUGCAGAUGAMAGACGACACAUUAACCAGCUGCAGGGCCUGGCAGGAGGUGUGCCGCUACAGGCGCCCAAUCUGGCCUGGCCUCCUGCCCAUGGUUCCUGCCCAGGCCCAGCCUUGCUGGCGGAGGAUCAAACACAGGCAAGAUGUACCCAGGAAGAGGAGCAGUGGGCGAGGCCUUCUCUGCACACCCCGCAACCUGCGAGCUCGGCAGUGCCAGAAGCUGUCCACUAACCGGCACACCAACGAGGCCAGCUGCCAGGGAGGUGAGGAACGGAGCCCCAGGUGAGGAAUGGAGCCCCCGAGGGACCGUCACUCAGUAGCUCAUCUAUAGUAAGUGGGCAAUCGGCUCCAUGCCGAAGACUCCAGCAGCACCCCGACCCCAGGAAGCACCGGCACCUGCUCCAGGUCUUGGAUGGAGACCCUCUGUUCUGAUUCCAGUGCUGGAAUCCUGCUGAGGCUGAGGCCUCCCUUCCAAAUCCUCCCAUCCUCACUAUCACCCCGCAGCCCACUCCAGGUAGACUCACCGAGGCAACCCUGAGAGCUGCCUGGGGCACCUGCACAACCACGGAUGAGCCGAGCAAGGCAGAGCGGCCGCUGGGCCUGCCCAGAUGAAGCUGUUCCAGCUGCUCAUGGGUGGCAGCAGAUCCUCGUGGUUGCAGAGGCACGGCUGGCUGGCGCUGGGCCAGGCCCCCGAGCCCCUUCUCUAUGGGCACACCUGUGCCAGCCCUGUGAGGCAGAGGGGACUGCUGAUUCCAAGAUGUGACUUUGCUGCUGAAAUGUGCUGAUUUAAAAGAACCAAGGAAAGCAGUUUACUUAUUGCCAAAGUCAUUUCAAAUGGAAUUAGGCACCUAAAUCAAAUUUGCUCGGGCUUCUCUGGGUUUUAAAACCACCUCUUGAGCACAGCGCUUGCAUUAACUCUGCGCCCUUGCAGAAAGCUAGGCUCGGGGUCACACGGUCAAUUCAACCUCCCGUUUAUCAUUGUUUAAAUUAUAUGAAUAGAUCAUAACGGGAGGCAGGACUCGGUGGCGCUCAUGCAUGUUCUGUGGCUGUUGAGCCUCCCAGCAGUUCUGGGAGAAGGUGGGGAAGGUUUAUCAUUAGCCCCAAGUCACAGGAAAGGAAAAAAGGUCAUACAUUGAGGGGCUUGCACUGGUCACACAGCUGAGAACAGGAGAGACAGUGUAGGGGACGGGAAGCCAUCGCCUCCACGGGCCAAUUCUCCAGGCCAAAUGUGGACCGAUCUGGGCAUGCCAUUGAUUUUGAGAAAGUUGCCACUUUGAACCCUACAG
ensembl:lncRNA